rnacentral:rRNA from 1 species
UACGUAGGGGGCUAGCGUUGUCCGGAUUUAUUGGGCGUAAAGAGCGUGUAGGCGGCCAGGUAGGUCUGCUGUGAAAACUCGAGGCUUAACCUCGAGAUGUCGGUGGAAACCAUCUGGCUAGAGUCCGGAAGAGGAGAGUGGAAUUCCUGGUGUAGCGGUGAAAUGCGCAGAUAUCAGGAAGAACACCCGUGGCGAAGGCGGCUCUCUGGGACGGUACUGACGCUGGGACGCGAAAGCGUGGGGAGCGAACAGG